AUUGAACGCUGGCGGCAGGCCUAACACAUGCAAGUCGAACGGAGCGGCGGACGGGUGAGUGAUGCUUAGGAAUCUGCCUCGUACUGGUGGAUAACGUCCGGAAACGGUCGCUAACACCUCAUCCUAUCACAUGAGCCUAGGUCGGAUUAGCUAGUUGGUGGGGUAGAGUCCUACCAAGGCGACGAUCCGUACCUGGUCUGAGUGGAUGAUCAGUCACACGGGAACUGAGACACGGUCCAGACUCCUACGGAAGGAAGCAGUGGGGAAUAUUGGACAAUGGGCGAAAGCCUGAUGCAGCCAUGCCGCGUGUGUGAGGAAGGUUUUCGGAUUGUAAAGCACUUUAAGUCGGGAGGCGUUACCAACAGAGAAAGCAACGGCUAACUACGUGCCAGCAGCCGCGGUAAUAC
rnacentral:rRNA from 1 species